rnacentral:pre_miRNA from 1 species
AUGGAGUCAUCACAUGUAACAGCAACUCCAUGUGGACUGUGGACUGCCUUCCAGUGGAGAAGCUGUUACUCUUGAUGGCCACCAA